rnacentral:rRNA from 1 species
GACGAACGCUGGCGGCGUGCCUAAUACAUGCAAGUCGAGCGGACGGAUGGGAGCUUGCUCCCAGACCGUCAGCGGCGGACGGGUGAGUAACACGUGGGCAACCUGCCUGUAAGACUGGGAUAACUCCGGGAAACCGGGGCUAAUACCGGAUAACUCUUUCCCUCACAUGAGGGAAAGCUGAAAGAUGGCAUCUCGCUAUCACUUACAGAUGGGCCCGCGGCGCAUUAGCUAGUUGGUGAGGUAACGGCUCACCAAGGCGACGAUGCGUAGCCGACCGGAGAGGGUGAUCGGCCACACUGGGACUGAGUCACGGCCCCGACUCCUACGGGAGGCAGCAGUAGGGAAUCUUCCGCAAUGGACGAAAGUCUGACGGAGCAACGCCGCGUGAGUGAUGAAGGUUUUCGGAUCGUAAAACUCUGUUGUCAGGGAAGAACAAGUACCGGAGUAACUGCCGGUACCUUGACGGUACCUGACCAGAAAGCCACGGCUAACUACGUG